rnacentral:rRNA from 1 species
CAGUCGAGCGACAGAUAAGGAGCUUGCUCCUUUGACGUUAGCGGCGGACGGGUGAGUAACACGUGGGUAACCUACCUAUAAGACUGGGAUAACUUCGGGAAACCGGAGCUAAUACCGGAUAACAUUUGGAACCGCAUGGUUCUAAAGUGAAAGAUGGUUUUGCUAUCACUUAUAGAUGGACCCGCGCCGUAUUAGCUAGUUGGUAAGGUAACGGCUUACCAAGGCGACGAUACGUAGCCGACCUGAGAGGGUGAUCGGCCACACUGGAACUGAGACACGGUCCAGACUCCUACGGGAGGCAGCAGUAGGGAAUCUUCCGCAAUGGGCGAAAGCCUGACGGAGCAACGCCGCGUGAGUGAUGAAGGGUUUCGGCUCGUAAAACUCUGUUAUUAGGGAAGAACAAACGUGUAAGUAACUGUGCACGUCUUGACGGUACCUAAUCAGAAAGCCACGGCUAACUACGUGCCAGCAGCCGCGGUAAUACGUAGGUGGCAAGCGUUAUCCGGAAUUAUUGGGCGUAAAGCGCGCGUAGGCGGUUUCUUAAGUCUGAUGUGAAAGCCCACGGCUCAACCGUGGAGGGUCAUUGGAAACUGGGAAACUUGAGUGCAGAAGAGGAAAGUGGAAUUCCAUGUGUAGCGGUGAAAUGCGCAGAGAUAUGGAGGAACACCAGUGGCGAAGGCGACUUUCUGGUCUGUAACUGACGCUGAUGUGCGAAAGCGUGGGGAUCAAACAGGAUUAGAUACCCUGGUAGUCCACGCCGUAAACGAUGAGUGCUAAGUGUUAGGGGGUUUCCGCCCCUU